AGAGAGAGAGAGAGAGUUAUAGAUGUGCAAGGCAUAAAUGCAUCAAGGCAAGAUCCAAGCAGCUUUAAGAAAAUUAGAAAGAAGAAAAAUGGCAAAUAUUUUUGAACUUCACUUUUUGGUUCUUGAGUUCCCUUAUGCAAGUGCUAGGAAAAUAUGCACUUAUGAUAUGAAUGAUUCGCAGCUAGCAGAAGGAAGGAAGGAAGUAAUAAGCAAGGAGCAGUACUUAAUUAUAUCACAUCAAUCCCAAAUCUCUAAUGCAUGUGGAUGGGAUCCUACCUAACUUCUUCAGUUGUGCUUUAUUAGAUAAUAUGCUGUGUCUAAUUGCUUUCUUAAAGGAACGCCUAGGCUAAAUCUUAACUAAAACUUACCCAGAAGGGGAAAGGUGGAAAUGUAUUCAGAAUGUCUGUCAUAAAUUUAGAAGAAAAUCUUGCUAUAGUGAAUAAAGAAAUGAAGAUAAUAAAACCACAUCUCCAUACUCUAGUGAGACAAAACAUAAUGAAAGAAAGAAAGAGAGAGAGAAAAGCAUCUAUGAUCCUAAGUUCGAACUAGAACAAUUAAGAGACUGUUCAAUUCUGUUACUUAUUUUAAUUCCUUUUACUAAAAAGGUCAACUUUAAUUGACCCUUAAUUAGAAUCUAUAAUUACAAUAAGUGACUGUAUUGAAAAACAAGAAAAAAACAUAGUUUCGUACCUUCCCUUCAGCUCUUAACUUGUCAUUACAUUUAGGAGAAUCUCCAACUGCUUCACAUCUCUUGAAAGAUCUCUCUGUAAUAGGAGGAGUAGAGGUAGGACUAGGGCUACUUGAACUAAGGUCA
rnacentral:misc_RNA from 1 species